rnacentral:rRNA from 1 species
CGAAGGGGUGAGUAACGCGUGAGAAUCUGCCUUCAGGUUGGGGACAACCACUGGAAACGGUGGCUAAUACCGAAUGUGCCGAGAGGUGAAAGGCUUGCUGCCUGAAGAAGAGCUGCAGUCUGAUUAGCUAGUUGGUGGGGUAAGAGCCUACCAAGGCGACGAUCAGUAGCUGGUCUGAGAGGAUGAUCAGCCACACUGGGACUGAGACACGGCCCAGACUCCUACGGGAGGCAGCAGUGGGGAAUUUUCCGCAAUGGGCGAAAGCCUGACGGAGCAAUACCGCGUGAGGGAGGAAGGCUCUUGGGUUGUAAACCUCUUUUCUCAGGGAAGAAAAAAAUGACGGUACCUGAGGAAUAAGCAUCGGCUAACUCCGUGCCAGCGGCCGCGGUAAUACGGAGGAUGCAAGCGUUAUCCGGAAUGAUUGGGCGUAAAGGGUCCGCAGGUGGUAGUGUAAGUCUGCUGUUAAAGAAUCACGCUCAACGUGAUCAAAGCAGUGGAAACUACACAACUAGAGUACGGUAGGGGCAGAAGGAAUUCCUGGUGUAGCGGUGAAAUGCGUAGAUAUCAGGAAGAACACCGGUGGCGAAAGCGUUCUGCUAGACCUGUACUGACACUGAGGGACGAGAGCUAGGGGAGCGGAUGGGAUUAGAUACCCCAGUAGUC